UCUACGGGAGGCAGCAGUGGGGAAUAUUGCACAAUGGGCGCAAGCCUGACCCAGCGACGCCGCGUGAGGGAAGAAGGCCCUUGGGUCGUAAACCUCUGUUGUAUGGGAAGAAGGACGUGGCGGUACCAUACGAGGAAGUCCCGGCUAACUACGUGCCAGCAGCCGCGGUAAUA
rnacentral:rRNA from 1 species